UCCAGAUCAUCCAAUCAUCCAUAGAGAUAUCGAACAGGUUAACCAUCGUCCAUUGAACACCUGUUUAAGAAUAAACAAACCAAUAUUCAAAUAGGAAAUAUAAAAAUAAAUUCCAACAUAAUUAAUAUUCACAAUUUACUUACCAUCUUAUUAUUUAAAUGAUUAAAGCCAAUCCUUGCAACACAGUAUUGCUUCCACUGUAUCAGAUUUUAAAGAAGCCCGAGUAUCUUCAAUUAUCCGACGACCCCAACUAAAAGCAGACUCAGAAGCAACAGUAGAUGUUGGAAUGGCUAAGAGAUCUCUGGCCAUCUUCCUUAAUGUUGGAAACUUCACUCCAGUAUCAUUCCACCAAUUCAAAAUAUCAAAUAGAAAUGGAUCAUCUUUUCUCUCUGGAUGAAGUGCUUCAUUCAAAUAAGUAUCUAACUCUGAAAUUCGAGUUGGUUCCAUUUGUUGAUUCUUGUCAAUUACAAAGUCUUGCCAUUCCGCUGUUACAAGAUCAUGAGUUGUUCCACAAGAAAUUACUUCUGUAGAAAGAUUAUCAUCAACUACUUCUUCACUUUGUGUUUUAUCCACAUAAGAAUCAUAUAAUUCUCUCAGGACACUAUUAACUCGAAUAAUAUGAAUAUGAGAUGCACUACCAUAAAGCUUUCCCCAGUGUGUGGGCAUUCAAUAAAAUUGAAGGCAAUGAUUUUCUUAUUUAAUUUCCAUGAAUCGUCUAUAUAAUGGCAGGACACACAACAAUACCCAAGGUUCUGAUGAUCUGGAGUCCAUAAAUCAGUUGUGAGGCUAACCUUAGAUGAAAUACCAUCCAAGAUACUUUGCAACUUUGUUUUUUCUAUCUUAUAAACUUCUAGGCAAUCAGACUUGAUAGUAUUUCUGGUUCUGAAUUUGUACAUUGGGGAAAUGAAAGCCACCCACUUUCUAAAAUACUCAUGUUCUGUCAAAAGAAACGGAUAAUCGUGUUUCAUUACCAUUUGAGCAAACAAAGUUCUCUCAACCUCUGCAUCAAAUCUGUAAGUUCCAAUAGUAUUUGUUGUAUUCCCAGAACUUGCCAAUAUUGCCUGCCUAAUGUCUACCCUUGGUCGGCGUCUACAAUUUUUGGUAUGGGUAGAUAAAUGUGUUGUACCUUUAGUACUGUCACCACUAGUUUUGUGUGUACAAUACUUGCAUUUAGCUGUGAUGGAACCAUUUGGAUUCUCUGUUCUUUAAUAAUCAUUCCAAACAGGGGAUGUCAAAGAUCGUUUCCUUUUAAUUUUAUUAACUUCAGGAUGUUCAGAUUCUUUGGCUAAUAUUGUAGAAGAUACGCCGGUAGUAGUACUAGGUACACUAAGGUUUUGUAUAGGAGCAUCUUGAGAUAUAGGGAUAUGUGUAUCUCCAAUACUUUGAACGUCUAUUAUGUCUCUAACCACACCUAAUAUAAUUUACAUAAAGAUUAUUUAAGAAACAUAAAUAUCACAAUUCAGAAACAUUAAAAUCAGAAAUAUAAAUUAAUAUCAGAAACAUAAAUUAAUAUAAGAAUAAGAACAUUAAUUUAUGCCAAAAAAAAUUAACAUUACCUUCAUCAUUCCCAUGUACAUUAGACAUUGAGUCUAUUGAAUAAGUAGACUGUUUAGGAAAUGAAAUCUGAAAAUGAAUAAAAAAUUAAAAAUGAAUAUUAGAAACUCUUCUCUUAUCAGAAUGUUCUACUACGAAGUCAACUCUUCUCUUAUCAGAAUCUGAAAAAUUAGCAGUUCUUUAGUUAUUAUUAGCAGACAUCAUAAUACUAAUAGCAUUGAAUAACAAGGAAGUAUAUGUGGAGUUCUACAAGUCCAUGAUAUUAUCGCAGUUAAAUAUUCCUAAUUAUCACCUAUUUUUCGGUUAUUUGAUCUCAGUAAAAUCAGUAUUUUUGCUAAUAUAAAUUCAAAAAAUCAUUUACCUUAAACAGCACGUCCGAGAGAUUGUUGUGUUGGUGUUUCCAUCUUACGCUUAUUCGAUCUGUCCUUACUUGAAUUAGACAUUUUCCUGUCAACAUGCAAUGAAACAAGCACAACGAAAAAUCAUAUUUGGAAGAAUUUAAAAUUAAUAAUUAGUUGACAGGAAAUAAAUAUUUAUUGGAAGUAGAGAAGACCAAAUCAAAAUGAUAUUGAGAGAAGAUUAACAUAAAGUUGAAAAAUCGAUAGAAGACCACAAACAUAAAAAUCAAUAUAACAUAAAUGGACAAACAUAAGAAGAAUGGAUAAAACAAAACUGUCGGAAAUGGAAAUCUGUCGGAAUGGAUAAGAACGGAGGGUACGAAAAAAAAGAACAACGGGGAAUAAGGAAAUCUGUCGGAAACGAACAGAGGAGAUCGAGAUUAAGAUUGCAAUCUCCAGCGUGGAAAUGGAGGUUACUGUCCGGAUGAGGUUACUGAAAAGAAAUCACAAACCCUAGCAAAAAAAAGAAGGAAUGAAAGGAAUUACCACUUAAGAAAGGGGGAAUAAGAAAUAAGAAUGAAUUUUUAGAGAUUUAGGGAUUAGGUUUAGGGAUUUGAUAUUUAUAUUAUUUGAUAAAAAAUGAGAUGGGUUUAUUGCUAAUAUGGUGUAAGAUAUUUAAUAUUUAUUAGAGAAGGUUAAAAUUAUAAAACAUAUAGAUUACAUUACAAUAUUAUAUUAGACAAGGUUAAAAUUAUAAAAUUAUUAUAUAUUUAAUAUUUAUUCGAAUUCGGAUAAUUAUCGAAUUCUAUUAGAGGUAUCCGAAUUCGAAUUCGAUUAGUGUCGGAUAGUAUUUUCAGUAUCCGAAUUCGUAUUCGAAUUCGAUUAGCCUUAAACGAAUUCGAAAUCGAAUUCGAAUUCGGAUUUCGAAUAUCCAUUGACAGGGUUACUUGUAGUCAAGGGUUUUCGGCAGAUCCAAGAUCUGGACUACACUGAGGUGUUCUCUCCUGUAGUCAAAAUGACCACUAUCUGAAUUAUUCUAAGUAUAGUUGCAGCAGAAAAUCUCUACUUAGAACAGAUGGAUGUGAAAACAGCCUUUCUUCAUGGUGACCUGGAUGAAAAGAUCUACAUGACAACCAGAUGGGUUCAAGGUAUCGAACAGCAAAAGAAAUCUGGUUUGCAGACUUCAGAAGAGUUUGUAUGGGCUGAAGCAAGCACCUCGACAGUGGUACAAGAAAUUUGAUAGCUAUCUCAGUGCCAUAGGUUUCAAGGGGUGUGACACGGAUCCCUGUUGCUACAGAAAACAGUUGACUGAUUGCUACAUCAUUCUUGUUGUUUAUGUUGAUGAUAUGCUCAUUGCUAGUGCAAAUAUGGAGAUAAAUCAUCUGAAGAAACAACUUUCAAAGGAAUUUGAGAUGAAAGAUCUGGGAGCCGCAAAGCAGAUUUUGGGCAUGAGGAUCAUCCGGGAUGAGUCCUCAGGAAUUUUGAAACUGAGUCAACAGAGAUACAUUGAAAAGGUUCUUGAGAAAUUCAGUUUUGAAAAUUCCAGAUUGACAGAUCUUCCAUUGGGAGCCAAUUUUAAAUUAACAAAGGAGCAAUCACCAAAGACUGAAGCUGAAAGAAGUUAGAUGGAGAGUGUACCAUAUUCCUCAGCAGUUGGAAGUUUAAUGUAUGCCAUGAUCUGCACGAGACCAGAUAUUACCCAUGCAGUGGGAGUUGUCAGCAGAUUCAUGUCAAAUCCAGGUGUUGAGCACUGGAAAGCUUUGAAGUGGAUACUUAGGUAUCUGAAGAAAACUCCAGAUGUUGGUCUAUGUUUCAAAAAAGAGCAGGUAGAGCUUUGUGGAUUUUGUGAUGCAGAUUUAGCAGGAGACCUUGACAGUAGCAGGAGUACCUCAGGUUAUGUGUUCAACAUAGGAAGUACAACUAUUAGUUGGAGAUCCAAACUUCAGAGUAUAGUGUCUCUCUCAACCACUGAAGCCGAGUAUGUGGCAGCUGCAGAAGCAGUGAAAGAGAAGAUGUGGCUAGAAAAUAUGCUGACAGAAUUGGGCUACAAGCAAACUGACAGUGUGUUGUGGUGUGACAGUCAGAGCGCAAUUUAUCUAGCCAAGAAUCCAGUGUUUCACUCAAGGUCAAAACACUUCAGACUUAAGUACCACUUCAUUCGAGAGCAGAUUGAAGAAGGGCAAUUGAAUUUGAAGAAAAUAGCCGGUACUGAGAAUGCAGCAGACAUGUUCACAAAGGUGGUGAACGUACAGAAACUAAGGUUUUGCAUGGCCUUAGUUGGUCUUCACGCCUAGAGAGAUGGUGCCAGGCGUUUCCGGUACAAGCUUACUUGAUGAGGUGGCAGUUCUCCUAAACAGUCUCCAAGGGGGAGAUUGUUAGUGUGGAGACGUUUUCAUAAGGGCAUUAUGGGCAUUAAUUAUAAUUAGAAUUAAUGUAGGUCUUUUAUGAGCCAUUAGAAUUAAAUAGGUUUAAUUCUGUUAAAUGGGCUUUAAGCCUUGUAAUGGGUAUUAGGGUUGCAAAUACAAAACGGCAACCCUAAUUUCCCAUAUAAGUAAGUAUCUUGUAAUGACUUGUAUUCUUUGAGAGAGAGAAAAAGAAGAAGAGGAGACAUCCCGUGGACGUAGGCACAUUGCCGAACCACGUAAAUUUAUUUUGUUCUUGUUUUUUGCUCGGUUUUCUCAGUUCGAUUUAAGCAUCGAUCCUAUCAGUACCCAACACUAGGCAGUAUGGCUAUGUGGAAAGUGUCAAAUGAGAAUCUUUGUACUCUUUACCAUAUUCUAUUUGUUUAUGCUUAUGCUUAUCCUCAAUGUAAUCAAGGCAAUGUCCUUCAUUAUGAUUGAUGAAAAUAUUUAACUCUUCAAACACGCACAUUAAAAUGUUCGCUCAUUAGAAGACAUGAUAUAUCUUAGUAACUUGAAUCAUGUUGAAACAACCUGUUUAUAUGAGAACUGCUGGUGGGAGCCAGGAUAGUUUGAGAAUUGGUUUCUAAGUUUUUUAAUUUAUAGUUUGGUCAAUGGAAUGGCUCAAACCUGUAAACCGAGUUAACUGAUACCCCUUGAGUACAUCAUGGGAUGUGGUUAAACCUUCUUUACAAUUAUAGUUAUAUCGGAACAUAUCAUGUUAAUUUUUACAUUCAGUGCAAUUGAUAUAAAAAAUUAGAGGUUUUUCUCUAUAAAUAUGAUGCCGUUCUUGACUAUUUUUUUAGGUAUUGGAUAAAAUAAGCAAUUCUCAUUACUUGUACCGGAUGACCAUUUUACAUGCCAUUUCUUUGCUUGCACCAGUCAUGGGUCCUGAAAUUACAUGCAACAAGUUGUUGCCUGUUGUUCUGGCAUCAUCAAAAGACAGGUGACCAAUAUUUUUGCAGCAAUUUUUCUUCUCUUUGCCCUUCUGUAGUCUGUACCAUGCUAAUCCCUUUAUGUUUAUAGAGUACCAAACAUCAAAUUUAACGUAGCAAAGGUGUUGCAGUCAUUGAUUCCAAUAGUAAGCCAAACUGUAAGUAUCUUCCCUACUUAAAUUUGCGUUGUGAAUGAGUUAUUGCUUUAUCUGUAUGAAUUUGCGUAGGGUUAAAUCGAUAAAAACAUGUCCUAAUUGCAGGUUGUGGAGCAGACAAUUAGACCUUGCCUCACUGACCUAAGCGAAGACCCUGAUGUUGAUGUCAGAUAUUUUGCUUCACAAGCUCUCUACGAUUGCAACAAGGUUGUGAUGUGUAGUUAAAUAAUUUUUUAUGCAAAAUUUUAAAGAUAAGUUCGUCUUGAUGUUUUAAGGGGAUAAUUAUUUGCAAUAGUUAUUGUCAGCAAAUGUAUUUAAUAUUUACGUUUAAUAUUUGUAAUGUAAAAUGUACUCGUUCAGUCUAUUUUUUGUUUCUCUUAUGAGUUAUUGAUUAGGGUGGAAAUAGUUUCGAACAAACACCAAAACAUUGUAUCCUCGACUUUAUCUAUAAUUAGUUGGGAAGGGAAUUCAUUUUCCCUACUUCACUUUUGUCCAUCUCUGGAGCAGUUUGACUUUCUUCACUCGACUUUCUGUAGCUCGAUUUUUCUUGUUUGAAGCACUUUGACUUUUUCAGAGUAUGGAGACUUCUUGAAGUUGAUUUCUCUGAAAGUCUUCUGAGUUUGUUGCCUCUCGGACUGAGUUUGACUUCUCGAAGUUGAUUUUUCGAGAUCGACUUUUUUUAGAAGUCUUCUUUGUUUGAGAGAUUUGACGUCGAUCCAGGUUGCAACAAAUGACGAUUCCCUUUACCGGAUUGACUUUUUUAAAUCGACUUUCGGUCAGUUCGACUUUGUUGAGCUCGACCUUGUUGUUUUUGAAUUUUUUAAAAAGAUUUUUCUAACUCUUUCUUUUGCAAGUUUACUCCAACAUGUCUUUUGGCAAAGACCAAACCAGUAAAUUGUGGAAGAGGUAGUCGUCGUCUUGUACUACUAGUUCUCAUAAAAAGAGGAGACAUUUUGUUGUUGGUUCUUCUCCGCACUGAACCAGAUCUGAUGCGCAACCUUCCUCCUUCUCUUAUAAGUCUACGGAGGAGUUUCAGUUUCUCCGUCCAAAAUCAAGACAAUGUCGUGACGAAAAAUCUAUCCAAUACGAACCUAUCUACACCAGCAUCUUCCCCGCUAAAAUUAUGAAAAAUGAACAAUAUUUUGUAAUAGUUAGUUUACAUUUUUGAUAAUAUUUUAACUCUUUUGUUAGUUAAUAUUUUUGCGGUUGCUACUCAAUACUUUUGUAAUAAUGAUUGAUUAACAUUUAUUAGGUACAUACCCUAAUUACUGGGAAAGUCGACUUGAAAAAGUUGAUCUGCUUUAAAGUCGACCUGAAGUCUCCUCAUUCCUAUACCGGUCGUUUCACCUUCAUUAGGUUGUUCGUCUGAGUUUUUGGAUACGAGUGAUACGAUCAGACACGAGAUUUGGUAUCACCAAUACUCUCCCUUCAACGCACCAAACUCUUUGGGGGUUCUUUUUCAGUUUCUGAUAAUGUAAGAGAUCUUGCAUCACCAAUUAUCAUUAAUUGUUUCACAAUUGCUAGUUGUGUUAUCUUGACAGCAAUUGUAAAUUGUGUUUUCUUGACAGCAAUUGUGUCAAUAAACUAAAUAAAUUUUAGAUGAAAAAUAAUGUUGUUAAAAUAAAUCUGCACAGUGAAUCUAAGAAAAAGCAAGGGGAGAGAAGAAGAUGAUUGUUGAUGUUCUCUUCUUGGGAGCUGAGAAGUUUGAAAGCUAGAACUCGAAAUCUCUUAUAUAUUGGUGACUCUCGAAAGUAUAUGAAUAAAUGCUCAAAAUGAUUGUAUGGGGGAUGAAGGAAAUGAAUUCCCAUGGGAUCCUUUUUCUAGUCUUCAUCUCUUUAAAUGGAUAUUUCACUCUCCAUCCCUUGAAUCUUAUAUCAAUGGUUGAGAUCUUUAUUUGAUGAUAUUGAGCUUUCUCAUUGGUUUCCCAUGGUUUAAACAAAACUAUAUAGUUUGGAAGCUCUUUUCUCAUUGGUUAGAAACUUCUUAAACCCUUCUCUUCCCUCACUGUUUGAUAAUGGUACACUUAAGUUGAUGAUGUGUCAUUCUCUCAUUGGUGGAGAGAAUGUUUACUUUUAAGUAUGUUUCUCAUAUGAUAUUCUUUAAUUGUUGACGUUUUCUAUUGACCUUUGAUGAUUGAUGAAGUGACACUUUUUGGUUGGUUGACCAAAAAUAUUGACGUUACCUAAGUAUGUGACUUGUGGAUUCCUGACCUGGUGAUAUGAUUGUUUGAAUGAUUGAUUUUAAAUGAAUUUGGUACACUAACUUUCAAAGAUUUUAUGUCAUGUAUAUUCUCUGUUGCUGAUCUAUAUUAAGUUGUCAGAAAUUACUUGAUAGGUUUGAUAGUCUAUACUUUGAUCUGAUAUUGAUUUUGACUAUCUGUCGAUUGGAGGUGACUUGAGCAUGUAUGACUAAAUGUCACCAAAUAAACCCUUAUUAGAUCUAAUGAUUGAUAGAUUGAUAAUGAUAUGAUUUAUGGAUCAAUGUGUUUGCAAUUAGCAACCAAUAAUUACUUUUGAUUAAUCUAAGCUUGUGUUAAGACAAUCUUAUUUCUACAAUGUCAUCUUUCAUUUCGUUAUCCUCAUAAAGACCAUAACAUUGUCGCAAUGCUAGUUGAACCACAUGAGUCCCCUGAGUGGAGCCUUGCUGGUCAGCUCCUCCACCUUGUUAAUAAUGUGUUAGAACUUAUCGUCCCGAUUUUUAUCGUUUUACUCGUCACUUUUUGUCCCGAACAGGAAUGAAUUGAAUUUUUUAAAAAAAUAUUGCACAAAACCCCGUUCUUUAAUUCAUCCGUCGCUUUAUGGAUUGAUCUAGCUAGGAGCAAGGUUGCCUCUUUCAGAUUUUGCCCCAUAAGACCAAUAUAUUAUUCCCACCUCUCCUUGAAAGUUGAUUCAUUGAUUACCAUCAAUUCAUAAUAAAUACAUGCAGUAGUAUUCAAGUCGGUCGUGUGAGUGUUGUAAAUCCUUAAAAUAAAUUGAAUAGUUUGAAAUAAUACAAUGUAUAUUUAUAAUUCUAAUUCUCAACUAAUUUACUAACUACUUUAACACUCUAACUACUUUAACAUUCUAACUGUAUUAUCACUCAUACUCCUCCUCAAGGUGAAAAAAGUAUUUACACACUGAAACCUUGUAUAUAUCAACUAUCUUCAAACUUGAUUGCUUUCCGAGUAAGUAAAUGAGCAAAAAGUAGGGGAGAAAACCUAGCUGAGAUUUAUAAUUUUGCUCCUCUUAUUCUUUUAACUUUAUUAGAAAACCCUUCUUUUAGAUCACAUAUUCCUCUAAGUUAGGAUUGUAAAUAAUCCUUUGAUAUGGGAUCAAAUCCGAUAUCGUAGACAAUGAAGGUGGAGACAGAAUUUCUGGCCGGAAUUAACCCAAACGGAGACAAACUUCUGGUCGGAAUUAACCAAACGGAGACAAUCUGAGAACUGGUUAUAAUACGGAGCCAAAUCAUAUAUCGUAAACAGGGACGAUGAGAUUAACCGGCCGGCGAACGAACGGAGACGAAAGGCGAUGAGCGGAGGCGACGGUCGGAGUACUCGAUGAUGAACGGAUGGUCUGGAAAUGGGGCGGCGAUUACGGAGUGAAGAUGAAAUGAAAUUGGGAAAUUUUAAUUUUAUCUCGAUAAUUACAAUAUCUACAAAUGAGCCCUUUUAUAGGGUAAAUUACAUAAGGUGUGUAAUAGAAAUUCCCUAAUUAAAACUAUACAAACAAUAUCACACAACUAAUCUAAACUUAAAGAUCUAACUGCAAAUUAACCCUUAAUUAAAUUACCUGCCCAUAUCAUAGUUGGCAGAAGCCCUCUUGGAACGGCUCUCCCUCACCUGGCGGCUCUGAUCUAAUUUCCCUUUUCUCUGUUCGCUUUCUUUCUCUUCAAUUUCUUCUUCUCCGGCGACCUCUUCACUGAGCUCGUGGUUCUUCUUCAGGUCUUCUAUUAUCCCAGCCAUGUCUACCCGCUUCGUAUCAUCCUUCAAGUUGUGUGGUCUUUUUAAUCUACAUCAGCUUCCUAAUUUUCGAUCUCCAGCACUAAUCCUUCACAUUUCUUGUCUCAUAAUCAACAUAUUCAUUGAACAUCACAAAUUCAGAAGUCAGCAUAGUGCAUUUUCAAAUUAAGAAGUUAAUACAAUGCAUUUUCAAAAAUAGAGACUUAGCUUUGUUUGUAAACUAAGUGUAGUGGCCAGAUCUCCCGGCCUUAUCUGCAUUUUUCCAUCUUUAACCUGCAUAAAUAUACAGACAGUAUAUGCAAACACAAAGUACUAAACCAUUUCUAAACACCAAUGUUAACCAUCAUUAUCCUAUUUCUAUAAUUUUGAUUUAUUUCACCUUCUCUACUUUUCCCUUUGCUUGACCUGUACAGACAGUAGGAUAAACUAGAGCAGAAACUAACUCAAAAAAAACAAAAGGUUAAAACAUCACAUAUUUUUAAUAGCUUAGAACAUUCAAUAAAAUUGUCACCUUCAAAAAUAAAAAAAAUCAAUGAUUUAUCAAUAAUCAUGGAUACUAAAGCAAAAUACACCUCCUAUUUAUCUACACUCCUUUAAUGAUUUAUCCAUUUUCUUUAAAUGAUUUAUCUAAUAUUCUAUACACUCUUACUUUAAUUUUUCUGCUUAACUCUAAAAAUCUAUCACUUCCUAAUUAUGCUUUUGUGAAGAGAUCUGCUAAUUAAUUUGUAGUAGGAACAUACUUGGAUAUAUCCACUCAAAAAUAAAAGUGAUAUAUUAAAUCAAUUCAAAAAUUUUCAUAAAAUGGUAGAAAAUAUAUUAAAUUAUAAAAUAAAAUACAUACAAUAUGAUUGGCAGUUUUUGAAUUAUAAAUUUCAACAAUACACGCAAGAAUGUGGUAUUGUUCAAUGUAUUUAAUUCUGAAAGAACUUUGAACCUUAAAUGCGUCGUCGUGCAUCAUCAAAUCGUGGUCAGUAGUAUUUAAUUUAGUGAUUAAAAUAAUGUAAUGCACAAGAUAUUAACACAUGUACGACGUAAAAUAAUAUAAUGUACAAGACACUAACACAUUUACGACGUAAAAUCAAUUUAACGAACAGAAUCAAUUUGACACAUAUAGCAUUCGCACUAUACGACGCACCUGAAGUACGUCCUAAAUAUAUAAACUUAUCAAAGGUGAUAAGCUUAUUCCACCUAAGGUGCUACAAUGCAAUUGAUAUUUUUUAUGUCUUGCACGUUUAGAUCUCUAUCGUGAAGAGGUCUGGGAAUAAGGGUAGAAGAAACGAAUCAUAUACGGCCAUCAGUGUCUGGUGAUACCAUAAUAGCAAGUCUCCUUGCUUGCCCCGAUCGAGAUGGAGUACUGAUACCAGGCCUCGUAUUGAGAGUACGGCCAAAGAUUAGACCCUUAGACACCCAUAACUGGAAUAAGGCUUAGGAAAGUCGUGCGGCUUUGUAUGAAUAUCAGACAGCGUCAUGCCCUCAAUGUAAAGGUUAUUAAACCAUUGAUACAACCCACACCUCAACUAAACGUUUCAAGAAAACUCCGACAAAGUGGACCAAUUAUAUUUGAUCACAAAAGAUUGGUAUUUUAUAAAAAAGUACCCUACAAUUAACUUUCUAUUUACGUUACUUGAAUGCUUCCUUAUUUUAAUUAUUGCAUGUAAGUCUGUAUAUCGGUCGGAUUCGGAUCGCAUAUGUAGGUAUCUGAAUCUGAAUUCGAAUAAUUAUCCGGAUAUUCGAAUCCGACCGAAUAAAAUUCGAAUCCGAAUAAAUUAUAUAUCCGGAUUUUCGGAUAAUCCGAAUCAGAAUAAUCAGAAUCCAGAUAACUUUAGGGUUAGCGUUAAGGUUAGGAUUUAAUAAUUAUAAGUUAAUAAGUUAUAAAGAUUUAUAAUUAUAACUUAGGUAAUUAGGUUUAAGACUUUAAGACUUUAAGUAUUUAAUGAUUUAUAAUAUAAAUAUACGCUCCAUAUCAGUUAAGAAGGGUUCUUUUCGUCAUCAUGUCCGUCCGUUUUAAGGAGCAAUCUGGACCAUCGGUUUUUUUCCCAACCAACCUGCUGAAGAAAUUAGGUACUAGGUACGUGCUAGCUAUGAACUAGCUAAUUAGUAGGCAUGCAGUACCAUACGCAGACUUACAUCAGUUGCAUGGUAUUUUUUUUUUUGAAAUCCUAAACCCCUCUACCCAUCGUCUCUCCCGUCUUCCAAACGAAAAACCCCUAGCGAUUUUUCCCCGUCGACCUCCUCUCUGCAUUCGUCGUCCGUUUAUUCCAUUCGUCGGGAAGCUUUCUUCGACGACAUUCUUUUCGUCUGUUUCUCGGUAAAAAUCUCAUCCUCUCUGCAUUCGUCGUCCGUCUAUUCCAUUCGCCGGGAAGCUUUCCUCGACGACAUUCUUUUCGUCUGUUUCUCGGUAAAAAUCUCAUCUCCUGUUCUUAAAAUCGUUUUUCCCUGUUCUAAAAAUGCCUUCUUCGAUUCCUCGUCAUCGUACAGAUUUUUUCCCUUCGUUCUUAAUAUUUUUUCAUCAGAAACCCUUCUCUUGUUAUUGUACCCACUUUUUUUCCGCUGACCCCCCACCCCCUUAGACAUUUCUUAGCAUCGAACCAUAGCAUACGUGUUCUACUCAAGUGUUCAUUUUGGUAAAAAUAUUGGUAACCGUUUACUUAUUUUGUUUAAUCCGUAUAUUUAAAUCCAUCGGUUAUAGACAAAAUAGUAACCGUUCUCAUAACGAUAACUACAUUUGAACCUCUAUACAAUGGUAGUUCGAUCACUCCAUAUUGUUUGUUGAAGCAUUGCUGUUUGGAAAAAUCGAGGUAUUCUUUGUUUAUAUGUAUCUAUGUUUCUAAAACUUGUUUGUAUGUUUCCUUUUUUUUUUAAAGAACACUUACAAGAUCAUUUUCACUAUUUUUCUUUCUUUCAUGAUAUGUUCGGUUUAAUCUAAAUGUUUGUUUUAUAAGUUUAUUGUGUUCGAUUUGUAUAUUUUUAUUCUUGUUCUGUUUUCUAAUGAUAAUAGUUACUUGAUUUUUUUCAUUUGUGAAAAUGGUUUUCUCAAGAACAGUGACCUUUUCAGUAUCUUUAAAUUUAUUUUCGGUUAUGUUAUUGUGAUGUUAUUUUCUGUUAAAAUUAUUUAUACUAGUCUUUUAAUUAAAAUUUUAAAUGUAAUUCUAGUGGUAACUGAAUAAACACUAGGUUGUUAAAUGUAAUAAAUAGAACGGUGUAAGAAUCUAAUACUACGUCUUACAAUUUUUUGUAGUGUCUAUGGCUGAAUCAUGCAUUACGUCCGUGGGAUUUAUUCAGACCAUAACCUGUCUACUUGGGUUUGUGAAUCAUGUCCUUAUUUUCUUCAAGCAUUCCUUAAAUAUCCUGAAGAUACAUGGAUAUACGUAAUGGCCGCCAUGGAAUACAUAUGUCUGGGUGAGCCGGUAGUUUGGAGCAAGAAGGACGUCGAUAACAUCAGGGAGAAAAUUGUCCACGACAUACUGCGCGUGGCGUUACGUGACGUUCAUAUAUUUAACAAUUAUAACUUCAAGUACAAUUAGAGCAAAAUUAUCCUUCCUAAAUAUUUUGUUACACAUUACUAUUAAUUAUCAGUUUGAGUAAUGAUAUAUUUUUGGGAAACAACUAUAUAUUUUGUUUUGUUAUACAAUGCUAUUAUCAGUCCUUAGACCAACAUGUAUUUCUCACCCUUUUCUAUAAUAUGCAGUAUUCCUCUGCUAUUAUGGUGUUCACGUUACUUUGUAGUGUGCAUCUGCUAUUAUCAGUCCUUAGACGAACAUCUGAUUCCACCUCUUCCUAUACUAUGUAGUAUGGUUCUGCUAUUACGGCGUUUACUCUACGGUUAGAGACACGCUACAAAGUAGCAUAAACACCAUAAUAGCAUAGGAAUACUACACAGUAUAGAAAGGGGUGGAAGUAGAUGUUGGUCUAAGAACUGAUAAUAGCAGAUCAACGCUAAACGGUAGCGUAACACCAUAAUAGCAGAGGAAUACUUCAUAUUAUAGGAAUGGGUAGAAGUAGAUGUUUGUCUAAGUAGUGAUAAUAACAGAUGCACACUACAAAGUAGCGUAAACAUCGAAAUAGCAAAGACAUACUACAAAGUAUAGGAAGGGUUGAAAGUAGAUGUUGGUCUAAAAAAUGAUAAUAGCAGAUGGACACUACAAAGUAGCAUAAACACCAUAAUAGCAGAGAAAUACUACAUAUUAUAGGAAGAGGUGGAAGUAGAUGUCAGCCUAAUUAGUGAUAAUUGCAGAUGAACGCUACACAGUAACGUAAGAGCAUAAUAGCAAAGGAAUAACACAUAGUGUAGGAAUGUGUAGAAUAAAUGUUGGUUUAAAGACUGAUAAUAACAUAUGCAUACUACAAAGUAACGUGAACAUCAUAAUAGCAAAACUACAUAUUCGCAGAAGCACAUUAGCUAGUUAAAAAAAACAUAUUAGCAAAGGUGCAAUAGAUAUUAUGCGAGUUCAAAACAAAGAUAACGACAUACAUGAUUAAAAUUGGUAUGUUUUGGGAUCAUAAAAAUUAAUUGUUUAUGAAAAACAAAACUCGAUGGGUUGGAACACUAACCUUCUAAUCAGAGGGGAAAGUAAAUGAAACCAGACGAUAGGUUGGAAGAACUCGAGAUGAUAGAGAAAAAAGAUGAUAAACAAUUAGGAGAUUAAAGAAGAAGACUAUGGGGGAAAAACAAAAAUAAGAAACAUAAGACGAUUUGACAAGGUGGCAAAACAUAGAGAAAGAUUAUUGAAGCUAUAUGGUUAAGUCAUCCAUUAAUUAAUUCUGAUUAAUUAAGUAAUUCUAAGUAGAUAGUUAAGAGGCCCAUAUUCUCAAGGCCCAUAACUUAAGUCCAAUAGCUUAGAGUAUAAAUAAUCUCUUUGUAAUUAUUUUUAUUACUUUUUUCAACUUUUAUCUAAAUUCAAAUUCUAAACCCUAGAAGGGUUUCUCCCAAAACUCGCGACUCUUCACUCCCCUAACCCUAAGUCGACCUCCACAGCUUCCGGUCGCCUUUGCCGCCUCAUCGCCAUCUGCGUUCUUGUCAUGGUAUCAGAGCCACUGGUGGUGAAGCCCGUGUCGAGUUGCUGGAGCGUCGCUGCAACCAUUCUCUAAAAGAGUGCCAAAGGAGAAGAGUUUCUGUUCCGAUAUUCUUCGCUGAUCUUGAUCUUCAAUAUCCGUCCGGACUACUGUCUCUAGACAGAUCUGGUAUCUCUAAACCCUAAUAACAAAAAAAAAUAUAUAUACAUUUUUAAAACUCCUAAAAUCAUUGCAUGUGAUCUUGCUCUUGCUUAGAUGUUUAGUCUCCAUAAUGCCAUGAUCUUUCGACUACAUGCACUGUCACAUAAACAGAUCAUGAUCAUGUUAGAGGGUACAUGCCCCCAUUAUUUUGGGAAUGUUCCCCACCUAUUAAAUCAUACAUACAUGCAUGCUCAUCUAAGUGAACAGGCUUCUGUCUCACCAAAUGAUUAUUUAAAAUCAUCCUAUGUUAAACGUGUACUGCUAUGCAUGACUACUAUGUAUGUUGCUUUGCAUGACUAUUGUACAUAUUGCUAUUCAAAGUCACCCCAUUCUAAUAUACAUUCUACUGUGCAUGACUUAAAUUGCAAGGGACUCUGUGUCUCCAUUCUUAUUGCAUAUAAGUACAUAUCGCAUAAACUGAUAUAUCACUAUACACUCACUAUCAUGUCUGCAUCCACAUAUGAACCAAACUAUUCAUACUAUAAAUGCAAACAAUAUCAACUAUCCAUUUACAUCAUUAAAUCACUUAUACAUAUUCAUGCUAUUGAUAUUCACUCUGAUAAAUACACGCUUCCGCAUAAUUCUUUAUAUCACAUAAAGCAUAUUUGUAGAUUGCAAAUAGAUUUAAUUCAAUUAUCUUACAUAAGCAAUUCAAAGACUCUGUCUUCUCAUUAUCAAAUCUAUGUGAUCAUUCAAUGCAAUUUACUAAUUCAUAUAUACUAUUGUAAUUCCUAUGAUCACAGAUCAAACAACAUGUCUGAUAAGACUCCAAGGGGUGGACCACUCUUUGAUCCUGUUUCCCCAUACUUCAUAAAAGCCACUGAUUAUGGCCCCCCAAACAUAAUCAACAUACUCCAAGGCAGCCAAAACUAUUAUCCCUGGAGUAGGGAGAUGACUACCAUGUUGAUCACUAGGAGGAAAUUAGGUUUUGUCUUAGGUACCCUCAGGGAGCCAAAUGUGAAAGAUACUGAUGAAUAUGAGGCCUGGGUCACCUGCCAUGGUGUCAUCAGGCAGUGGAUCUGGAGUUCAGUCUCCCCAGAGAUUGCAUCCCAGAUCAUGUACACUGAUGAUGCAUCAGUGAUAUGGAAUGACCUCAGGGACCAGUUCAGGCAGUCCAAUGAGACCCACAUCUAUCAGCUGGCUCAUGAUGUGGCUAUGAUGCAACAGGGUUCUGACUCUGUCUCCAAAUUCUGUUCUAACCUAAAAUCACUAUGGAGAGAGGUUGAUGCCUAUGGAGAGAUACCACACUGUGACUGUGGGAAAUGUAUUUGUAAUGUCAAUGGGAGGGCCAAUGAUAGAGAAGAUAGGCUCAAGAUUAGGAAAUUCCUAAUGGGUCUAAGUGAUGAGUAUAGGCAGGUCAGGUCACAUAUCCUAUCAAUGGAGACACUGCCUAACUUUGGAAAGGUCUACUCCAUGGUUGUUCAUGAAGAAUCCCAACUGCAACUAACCUCCAACCCAAGUACACAACAAGGCUCAGCCUUUUAUUCUGUGAAAGGGAAGUCACCAAUCACCCCCAAUACAAAUCAAAACCCUAAGUACUCAGCUGUUCCACCCACACCUUCUAAUCCAAAGAAAAGGCCACCAACUCCAUCUGAACCACUCUACUACAAGAGUGGCAAGCCUGUAAAUCUGAGAUAUUAUUGCUUUCACUGUGCUGCCUUUGGCCACAGUGAUGAAAAAUGUUUUUUACAGCAUGGCUAUCCUAACAAAGGGGCAUCCACCAGUAAACCCAAUACCUCCACCCAACCUGAAUCCAUUAAGGUCCAAGGUUCUGUGAAUCAUGUGGGUACUGAGAAACAAGAGUGGUCACCCUGGAACAGUGCUACCAAGCCUUCAAAGGAUGCUGACAAUCCGAUAGGACCAUAUGGCUUCCCUCUCUACUCUGAGAAGUACAACCCGAAGCCAUUGCCAAAAUACAAUCCUGAUUCAGGUACUGCAAAUUCUAUUUUUGAUAAAUCUAAUUUCCAUAACUACUGGAUUAUAGACUCAGGUGCCUCAGAGCACCUCAGUGGCAAUAAAUCCUUAUUCAAAAAUCUAAAAAAAUGUGAGCCAUUCACAAUCUCACUUCCAAAUGGAGACAAACAGUUAGUCUCAGAGAAAGGUGAUGUGUCAAUAUCACCCAACAUCACUCUCAGUGAUGUAUACUUUGCAAAGUCCUUCCAAGUCAACUUGCUAUCAGUUAGCAAAUUGACAGAAGAGGAUCUAUACUAUGUUCAAUUUACUAAAAACUCUGCCUCUAUCUAUGACAAGGUUCAGAGGAGGGUAGCUGGACAGAGUGAAGCACAUGGAGGAUUAUAUCUACUGCCACAGACCAGUGGUAUUUUUUGCUUUGUUGGUGCCACAACAGUAAACACUUGGCACAACAGAUUGGGCCACACAUCCUGUGGCAGACAAAACUAUAUUAUGAACAACUUUACUUUGAAACAUGAUAACUCUAAAUUAGCUAAAUACUGUGAUAUUUGCCACUUUUCUAAACAAUCUAAAAAAUCUUUUCCUCUAUUUGCAUCUAGAUCUAAGAGUGCAUUUGAUCUUCUUCACAUGGAUGUGUGGGGGAACUUUCACACUCCAACCAUCCAUGGCAAGAAAUAUUUCUUGACAGUGGUUGAUGACCACACAAGAUAUACAUGGACUUUUCUCAUUGCUAUGAAAUCUGAAUGUUUUAAUUUAUUUAAAAAUCUAUAUGCUCUUAUUCUAAAUCAAUUUGGCAAAUCUGUCAAAGCAAUUAGGACAGAUAAUGGUGGGGAGUUCUUCUCCUCCACCAUGGAUGACUUCCUCAAAGAGAAAGGCAUCAUACAUUACUCCAGCUGUCCUCACACACCACAACAGAAUGGUGUGGUUGAGAGGAAACACCAACACUUACUCAGUGUGGCAAGGGCAUUACAAAUGCAAUGUUCUUUACCCAUUGAGCUAUGGGGUUUUUCAAUUCUUCAUUCAACAAAGAUAAUAAAUAUGUUACCAUCCAAGGUAACUGACAACAAAACCCCCUUUGAACUCAUACACUCAAAAAGGCCAGACUUUGAGAAAUUAAGAUCUUUUGGAUGCCUUUGCUAUGCCACUUGUUUGGUAAAGAAUGAUAAAUUCUCCCCCAGAGCAAACAAGUAUAUAUACAUAGGUGACUCCUCUACACAAAAGGGAGCCAUCCUAUACAACAUAGAAACUAAACUUAUAACAAUCAGUAGGGAUGUGACCUAUUAUGAGGAGGUUUUCCCACUUAAGAAGGAUGAAAUAUCACAAGAAGAUCAAUCAUUACUCCCUCAUCACUCAUAUUCAGAAAACAUAGACUCACAAGGUCCACCUGAGAGCCAAUGCACUGAAAGUGAUGAUGAGAACACUGAUGACUUGGAUGUUCAAAACACUGAUGAUCUGAUCAUCCAAAACACUGAUGACCUUGUCAAUCAAACCAAUCCCAUCCAUGACCCAACCACUAGGAGAUACCCUAGGAGAGAAACAACAAGGUCCACUAAAUUAAAUGACUACUAUUGUUCAUUUGUCACUAGCACUGGUAGGUCAACAGGAACCAAGUUUCCCAUGCAUGACUACUUAACAUAUAAGAGACUCACCACAUCUCAAACUGAUUACCUAGAUAAAAUCUCCACUACAACAGAGCCCUCAUCAUUCCAACAAGCAAGCCUCAGCCCUGAAUGGGUUAAGGCAAUGAAUGAGGAACUAGCAGCUCUAGAGCUGAAUGACACAUGGGACAUUGUCCCCAAACCCAAAGACAGGAAAAUUGUUGGUUCUAGAUGGGUCUAUAAGGUGAAACACAAAUCCAAUGGUGAUGUGGAGAGGUUAAAAGCAAGGUUAGUGGCUAAAGGCCACACCCAAAUAGAAGGUUUUGAUUAUAAAGAAACCUUCUCCCCUGUUGCUAAGAUUGUGUCAGUAAGGACACUAUUGGCAGUAGCAUCUAUUAAGGACUGGACUACUUACCAAAUGGAUGUAAGUAAUGCAUUCCUACAUGGAGAUCUCAGAAGAGAUCUACAUGUCACCUCCACCUGGGCUACUGUCCUCUGAUGAUCCCAGAGUAUGUAGACUCAAGAAAUCUCUAUAUGGAUUGAAACAAGCAAAUAGGAAUUGGUAUGAAAAAUUAACCAAUGCCUUAGUUAAAUUUGGAUAUACUCAAUCUCAUGCUGACUACACAUUAUUUUUUAAAUCAAAUGAAAACUCUUAUACUUGUCUUUUGAUUUAUGUGGAUGAUCUGAUUAUAUCAGGGAAUGACCAGGUUGAAAUAGAUAAUCUAAAGUGUCACUUACACCAACAAUUCCACAUAAAGGACUUGGGGAAACUCAAAUACUUUCUGGGCAUUGAGGUGUCUCAAACAAACAAAGGCAUAUUUAUCUCUCAGAGAAAAUAUGCUCUUGACAUAUUACAUGAAUUUGGCCAACUUGGCACAUCACCAUCCAAAAUUCCAAUAUCUCACUCAUCUAAAGACAAUGAGGCAAAUCCCACUCUAAAAGAUCCAUCACUAUACAGGAAAUUGAUUGGUAAAUUACUAUACUUAACAAUUACUAGGCCUGAUAUUGCCUUUGCAGUAAGCCACUUCAGUCAAUUCCUAGCAAAUCCAUCCAAACAACAAUAUGAAGCAGCCCUUAAAAUUCUAAAAUAUAUCAAAGGAUCACCAGGGAAAGGUAUCCUAUACAGGAAGGAUGCUUCAUUACAACUAAAAGCCUACUGUGAUGCUGAUUGGGCUGACUGCCCAAGAACAAGGAGAUCUAUCACUGGGUACAGUAUUCUGCUAGGUGGAUCUGCAAUCUCUUGAAAAUCCAAGAAACAAUCCACAAUAAGCAGAUCCUCUGCUGAGAGUGAAUAUAGGUCAAUGGCAUCCACUGUGUGUGAAAUAAUGUGGAUACACUAUCUCUUGAAUGACUUGCAGGUUCAACAAGCUGAAGAAACUAAACUAUAUUGUGAUAACAUGGCAGCCAUACAUAUUGCAUCAAACCCUGUAUUUCAUGAACGCACCAAGCAUAUUGAAAUUGACUGCCACUUGGUGCGUGAUCAUCUACAGGCUGGUUUAUUCAAACUAGAGCAUGUUUCAUCAACAUCACAGGUUGCUGAUAUCUUAACAAAACCAGCAAGUCUGGAAUCUUUGAGAAAUCUGUUGCCCAAGCUGGGACUUUAUGAUCUGCACUCUCCAGCUUGAGGGGGGGUAUUGAAGCUAUAUGGUUAAGUCAUCCAUUAAUUAAUUCUGAUUAAUUAAGUAAUUCUAAGUAGAUAGUUACGAGGCCCAUAUUCUCAAGGCCCAUAACUUAAGUCCAAUAGCUUAGAGUAUAAAUAAUCUCUUUGUAAUUAUUUUUAUUACUUUUUUCAACUUUUAUCUAAAUUCAAAUUCUAAACCCUAGAAGGGUUUCUCCCAAAACUCGCGACUCUUCACUCCCCUAACCCUAAGUCGACCUCCACAGCUUCCGGUCGCCUUUGCCGCCUCAUCGCCGUCUGCGUUCUUGUCAGAAGAGAGUCUGAUUUCUGACCGGAAUGACGAAAGACGGCGCAGAAACGAGAUUCUUCUUAAGACCGAUCGAAUUCAAAAACUACACAUUCAAAAGCAAAUCACGAAAAAGAGAAUAAAUCGCAUUGGAUUGAUAAUUGAUAUGGCAGUACAAUACCAGAAUCGGCGUCAGAGGAAGCCGAUUAGAACGAAUCUGGCUGUUGCUUGCUCGGCGGAGAGGAUUUAGGAAAGAAGAAUGAUGAUCGGGCAAAGGAGUUAAAAAAGACAGUACGGACAGGAAAAACAGAAUGAGGAGACCUGCAGUUACGAUGAUAGACGAAACCGAUACUCCUUCGUGAAACAACCGAUCGUGAUGGUGAUUUCUUCGUCUCUGGUAGACCGAUACCGCCGCCAUCAUCCAGUCACUUUCUCCGGUCUCUUUCCGAAGAUGGAUGGAUUUGCCAAUGGACGUAUCCGGUAGCAGAACGAGAUUCCUGAGCAACGAUCACACUCUUCUAACGCUCGUCAGACAGUAAAGAAGAAAAGAAGUGAGGGUGAAGAAUAAGUUAAUAGAUAAAUAAAUACAGGACAAAAGAUGCAAUAAAAUACGAAAAAGUACUUUAUCACAUAUCAAAGUAUUUUUUUUAUAAAUAAAAAAACAAACUUCGAUAGUUGUCUUUUUUUCGUAAAACAUACUAAAAUCUAUGCCCGGUAAGUGUAAAUGGUACGUCCAAAUCUCUAUUUGUUUUCAAAUUCGAAUAUGGAUACAAAAAAUGAUAUCGGAAAAUUAUCCGAACGGAUUUAGAUAUCUGCAAUAUCCGUCAUUAAAAUCCGAAUUUGAUGGAUAAUUUCGGUUUCGGAUAUCUGGAUAAAUAUAAAAUGACUUUCAGAUAUCCAAAUCUUAAGAUGAUUAAUUGAUUAUGAAUUAAUAUUAUUAAAUGUGAUUUUAUACUUUUUAUAAUUUUAUUUUAAAUUUUUUAUAAAAGUUAUCCGAAUUCAGAUUUUUCGAAUAUCCGAAAAUUUAUCAUUUUUCGAGUUCAGAUUUUUCUAUUCAGAUAUUAUUCUAACGGAUUUAGAUUAUUCGAAUUCGGAUACUUUGAGUCAAAUUCAAUCGAUAUACAAACCAUCUAAAAUCCAAUUGAUUCCGUACCAUUGAGUCGUUUUCCAUAGAUUUUUAUUUCAAUGCGGUUGAGUGCGAAAAUACGUUUUGAUUCCAUAAUUGUUCUUUUCACACACACACAUAUAUAUAUAUACAGAACGGUGCCCAUCACCGGAUGGGCCACAUUUUCCAUCCAACGAAGUCCCGUCGAGAGCCACAUGCGUUCCUUCCGCGAUAUGGUUCCGUCAUCGUACUCAUUGCCAAUGGUUUCGAUGUUGAAGACCACAUAAAUUUCGUGAUGUGAUUCUAAUGUGGAACUCAAUCCUCCGGGGGUGAACGAGUGUCGGACAUUGCCGCCGCAUCGAACCAUGAACCGUACCAAACGCUCAUUAUAUAGGUUCGUCUGCACCAAAAACGCGCUGCGGACGUCGCAGAAUCACGAUAGGGACUGUCGUUCUAGGUGACGCCGGUCCCUACACUCGCGUGGUCCCCUAUACUCCCGCCCCCAGUCCCUACACUCGGAAUCGCGGCUCCGGAUCCGGUCCCACAAUUUCGAGAUUUUGUCUUUUGGAACCGCACCAAUUCUAGGUGACGACAGACAUUCGUCGGAUUUGAAAUCCGUAUUAGAUAAGAAUGAUUCUUAUGAGAAUCCUCUUCCAUCACGUCUGUCUGUUUUGAAGAUGAAGUUGCAUCGUGGAUUUAAAUUGUUAUAAACUGGGUGAAUAAGUAACUGGUUGUUAGUGACCGGUAAGAAAAAAAUUGAAAAAAACUAUACUGACAUUCAUGUAUCAGUAGCUCAGUAUAUAGCUCAAUAUAGCUACUUAGUAUUGAAUUCCUAUUGCGGAGGGUCCGUCAGAAGCAAUGUGAGCAAACACCUAAGUCCGGGAGCGAUUUGGAUGCGUGAGGAAACCGGAGGCGUUGCUAGGGUUUUUCGCCUAUUGGAGGUUGGGCAUUUAACAAUAUAAACUACCACUAUCGAGUGCAAGUGAGAAGGUUUAGAAGAAAGAGGAGUUUUAGUUAAUCUGUAUGAUUAAUUGAGUGUAUUGUAUUGAAUUAAUUAAGUGUCAUUAAAUUGUUGUAUAUAUACACAUUAACUACAUUUACAUUUACUGAAUAACCGAAUUAACUAAUUGAUUUAUAUUUGGAUUGGACUCCUCUGAUCUUGAUCCAUGGUCCAGUUGCUCAACAGUUAUUCCGGUUGAGGAUAUUUCUGCAAAGAUACAUACAAGAUUAAAAAUAACAACCAGGUCCUUGUUUGACCUGGUUUGUAUUUUGGGUAUUUUACUCAAUACCCCUCAUAUUUAUUUUAUAAUCUUUAAGUAUCAAAAUUUUAUUUAAUAGUUGAAUAUUUAUGAAUUGAUCCUUUUAUAAAAAUAACUAUAGUUAUAAAACGUUUUAUGAUAACUUUUUGUUUGUUUUUAUUACUUUAAGAUCCAAACAAUGUUUUAAUAAACAUUUGCGAAUAGAACCUUGUUUGUUAAAAAACAAACAUAACCUUUAGGUUCUAUUUAUUAGACUUAGACCCUAAGUUUAUAUUCUGUGGUAAAUUGUUACUUUUACCUUAGAUUUCAAUAUAAUUUUAUACUUAGUAGCAUAGUAGCUCAGUAGUAGUUGUGAUUAAAACCAAUCAAUAUCAAAAGAAUUUUUUUUUUUUUUUUAAAUCACAAUCGGAUUUUAGUAUUACUCUCCCUCCAAAAUCGUUCUCCCCAACCAGCGUUAUUGUCGUCCUCCCAACUCUAAUCCGGUCGAUCGUGUGUCUUGGUACUAUUCUCUCCAAGCGUUUUAUUGACCCCGAACUGCUCCCCGUCGUUCUGUCUUCGUAUGUUCGUCCGAGCGUCACCCAUCUGUUAGAACUCCCAAGGUAGUCCCUGUAGAAAAAAACGGAACCCAUUUUUUUUUGAAAAACUUCCUCAUUCGUUUGGUCUCCCCAACAUUCUUCGUUACUAUUUUUUUGCGGCAGUUACUACUAUUGAUAAACGUUUUUUUUGGAAACCCUAUUUAAUGGUAUAAAUAUUUUUUUCUUGAUCCUAAAAUAUUGUCUUCAACAGUGACCAUAGUUAUUCCAUUUCGUUAUCACAAAGGUAUUCAUUCAUGGUUUCUUUUUUAUACUUUUUCGGUUAGUAGUGGAAAACACGUCCGUUUUAUGUCGAUUCUGUUUUUUCUCCGUUGGUUUUUUUUUUCAGAUUUUUAAUCUGAUUUUCAGUAGGGUUUUUGUUAAAAAAUUUGUUUGUGUAUCGAUAUUCCACAUAGUUCUUCCAUAUUCCAUCAUAGAUUUUUCUUCUUCUAGUUAUUGGAAGGUAUUUUAGCCAAUUGUUUUGGAUUGUUUUCACACUUGAUUUCUAGAUUUCUUCUGUUUCAUCUAUGAUUGUUUUCAUGAUUUCCUCUGUUUCAUCUAUGAUAUUUUUCAUGUAUGAUUUGUUUAAAUGCUUGAUUUCUUUUGUUUUCCUUUAAUUUUAUUUUCAUUUGUUAGAACCUUAUUUUUUUGGUUAUAUUGUCAUGUUGAUUUGUCUCUAAGAAGACGAUCGUUUUUUUUUUGUAACUGAUGUUUGUUCCUCGAACUAUUUUAUCAGUAUCACUCAUAAAUUGUUUGUGCUUCAUUUUUUUUUCAGUGUCACUCACUACUUCUUAUUCUUUAUUUUUGAAGGUAUUUUAUAAUUUGACUUCUCUUUCUAAUUUGUUGUAGUUCUUCUUAAAAAAUGUCUACAUCCACUUCUGAUCAUUCGAAGCAGAAAGAAGAGGAUUCAACCUUCAAGCAUUCUUAACCUCGCCGUGUCUCAAUCACAGCGGACGGUAAAAGAAUUUUAUUGAAAUGUUAUUUUAAAUUUAGUGUCAUAUUCUAGUAUGAUUGUGCUAUUAUUCCUCAUCGUCAUGCUAAAAUUGUAGAGGUCGAUAUGAGAAGAGCAAAUCAGAGACGAUUUCAAAGAGUGGGACUUCAAAAUUUCUAAAGGCUCUCAAGGUAGCUUUAUUUUUUCGAACUCUUGUUUGUAGUUUGUACUUUCAUUCAUCGCAACUCAGUUUUUAAAACGUAAUUCAUGGAGCUUCUAACAUAACAGGAAAAUAAAGACUCUGGAGCAAGUAAUGGUUUCAUUGGGCAGUUUGGUGUUGGAUGUAUUUACAUAUUCUGAUUUCUUUCCGUCGUAUUACUUAUAAAACAUUUUUAGUGAUUUUACUGUUUCAGGUUUUAGCUUCUAAGAUUAUCUUUAAAAGUUCAAGAUCUGACAAACAAUAUGUUUGGGAAGCUGUUGCGGACGGUAGUUCAUAUGUAAUAAAAGAAGAGACUGAUCCUGAAAAAUUGUUAUCCCGUGGAACACAAAUUAGUCUCUAUUUAAGGGUUAGAUAACUAUCAUUCGCAUGUUCGUUACGUGAUGCUAAAGUUUUUAUGAAUUAUGACUUCAAGUACAAGUAAAUUACCAACUGUCCUAACUUGUUUAUGAUUGUAGAUAUACUAUUAUGUGACACAAAUGUUUGUGGUUAUAGAUAUACUAUUUUAUGAUACAAUGUUUUAGAUAUACUAUUAUGUGAUACAAAUGUUUGUGGUUGUAGAUAUAUUAAUUUUGUAAUACAAUGUUGUAGAUAUACUAUUCUGUGAUACAAAUAUUCUGUAAUAGCGUAAUGGGCGAAUGAAUUAUUCGUCCAAAUACUCACAAUAGCAUAAGUACACUAGACAAAAGUGUAAUGAUGAAUAAAUUGUUCGUCCAAAUACUCAUAAUAAAAGAAGUAGAUGGAUAGUAACGUACUCGGUGAAUCAAUUUCUCGUCUAAGUACUCAUAAUAGCAUAAGUACAUUAAACAGUAGCGUAGUCGGUGAAUAAAUUUUUCGUCCAAGUACUCAUAAUAGCAGAAGUAUACUGGAUAGUAGAUAGUAGGUAAAUGAAUUGUUCGUCUAAGUACUCGUAUUAGCAGAAGUACACUAAAUAAUAGCGUAAUGGGUGAAUGAAUUGUUCGUCUAAGUACUCGUAUUAGCAGAAAUACACUAGAUAGUAGCAUAAUUGGUAAAUGAAUUGUUUAUGUAAUUACUAAUAUUAGCAAAAGUACACUAGAUAGUAGCGUAGUUUGUGAAUGAAAUCUUCUUAUAAAUAUUUGUAUUAGCAGAAGUACGUUAAAUAGUAGUGUAGUUGGUGAAUGAUUUGUUGUUGUAAACACGGAUAUUGGCAUAUGUACACUAGAUGGGAGCGUAACGGGUAAAAUGAAUUGUUGGUUUAAGUACCAGUAUUAGCAGAAGUAUACUAGUGUUGGAUAUGGAUCAGAGGCUUAGGGUGGGGUAAUAGCCUCUUCUCGUGAUUUCUCAGAGAAUGUGCGGAAUACCUGAGAAUGCAAGUCAAAGACAAGGAUAUAUAUAAACAGUGUCUGUUCUUUAUGAAUUUACUACAGUAUAUGAAUACUGAGUCCACCUAUAAGAUUGUGUUUUAUAGACAAUUGUAGUAUAUGAAUACUAAGUUAUGAUAUAAGCACACGUUUAAAAUAAGUUAAAAUAUAUAUGUAUAAGUAUAAGUGACCAGAUAACUGGAUAUCUAUUUUAACUGAAAGUAACCUCAGUCAAUGACCAGAUAACUGAAUGAGAGAUCUGCACGAAAAUAGUCAACCUCAAUCUGUGACCAGAUAAUUGGAUGAAGGAUCUCUUUUUAGUUGUUUUUAUCUUGUUUAACUUUAUGAAAUAAAAAGCGGAAAAUAAAGAGAGACACAAAGAUUUUUAUAUUGGUUCGCCCAAACAAGGGCUAGUUCAGUUCCGAUGAAACACGGAGAUCACUAGCCUAAAGGUAAUGGCGAAACAUCUGCCAAGCUUUAAGGCUAAACGCUUGUGAACAACCUAAGAGUAUUCAAGAACUCUUAAAAACCUCUACCAAGCUUUAAGGCUAAACGCUAGUGAACCUUCUAAGAGUAUUCAGGAACUCUUAAGAACCUCUGCCAAGCUUUAAGGCUAAACACUUGUGAACCCUCUAAGAGUAUUCAGGAACUCUUAAGAACCUCUGUCAAGCUUUAAGGCUAAGCGCUUGUGAACCACCUAAGAGUGUUAAGGAACUCUUAAAAACCCUUGAACCUUUAAGACAGAUUCAACCUAAGAGUUUUCCUGAAACCUCUAUAGAAUCACACUAAGUUUUAUGGUUGAACUUGUAAAACCUUACAAGUGUUGGUAUUGAGACAAGCCUCUCACAACAAUUGGACCACUUACAAGAUGUAUAGCUUUCCUUCUAACACACUCUCAACGUACAAGAGGGGAAGAAGAAGUUGAAGAACUAGAACACACAACCUUAAGAGCAACUCCCACACAAAGCUUGAACAAGAGCUAGAGCUUGAACAAGAGCAAAAGAGAACGAAAGUAGAGCUUUGAUCCAAGGAGAGCUUUAGCAAAGAUGACAAGUGAUGACUUUAGUUCUUGGGUGUGCACCUCCUUUUAUAGUAGACGUUGAUGACAUGGAGGUAAAUUCUUCAUCUUCAAAACUCCUAGGAAGAAGAUAUUAUAGCUUAAGCAAAAUAUUUGAUCAAAGAAUACAUUAAGAAUUAUAGCUUAAGCAAAAUAUUUGACCUUUACUUAAAUAUCUCUCUACCAAAGAGAUUUUUCAAGCAAAACAUAGUGAAGGUCUUCAAAAUGUCAACAGAUCAAAAUAACUAUUGUUUUGUAAGUAAAUAAAAAUUAAACGAGGUCUAAAACGAGUCAUUUGUUAGUGGUGAACCCAAGUUUCUUAAGAAGUAGCUCCUGAUUCACUCUAAAUGUUCCUUACUUUUGUCUUCGCAAUUUCCAUCUUCACCUCAUUAAGCUUUAUCUGCUCUUCCAAAUUCUCGUAGCUCUUGUUCACUAAAUCAAUCUGUCUUAAGACGUCAUCAUCGAAACCAUCUCUCUUUACAUUUAUGUCUUUUAGACUCAUUAGCGUAUCAGUAUUCAGAAGAGUCAUGUCCAUGUGUGCAUUUAGAAUGAGCUUUUUCUCAUCGAUCUCAUUUCUUAUUAUAUUCAUCUCCUUUUUGUCGGCCUUAUAGAAUAGCCUGAGUAACUUCUGUUUGAAGGAUGCGGCUGUGAAGAACUUGAGAGGAUGAAUCUUUGAGUCCUCAAAUACAUACAGAUGAAGAUUUUCUUUGUUGAGGAACUUGGAGAUGAAUCUGGGAUAAUGUCUUGCUUUCCUGGGUAUCUUUCUCACCACAGCCAUGUUGUACAUGACAAAACUUGCCCAAUCCACCUUGAUCCUAUUCAGAAUGCAAAAUGCAGCUACCUGAGCCAUCAUUGUUGGUUUCUUUGUGACAAUGGUCACUGGGCAAAGGCAGUUGUCUAUUAUUGUCAGGAGGACCAGGGCAGUCUCAGUGAGAUCCUUGAAAUAGAUCCUUCCUUCUUUUCUGGAUCCAGAUGGGUCGGUGAGGCUUGUCCAGAGUUGUAGAGAUGUGCAGGUGAAUGGAAGGUCAUCCAGACUUUUAGACAUGUUGAUACAGACCCCCUCACUUGGCAAAGGACCCCAUCGAGCAAGCAGUUCUUUGGGUAUAUUCAUCUCGAAGUUAUUCUCUCGAGUAGACAGUGAUGAAUCAUGCUUGGAAUACACUAGAUUUGCAUAAAAUUGACUUACCUCCUUUUCAAAAAUUUCAACUUGCUCAAUGCUCUCCAUAUACUUGUCGAGUCCAUUAAAUUUGAGCAGUUCUUCGAUCUUUUUGUGUCCAAGAUCCUUCAAUCUGGUUGGUUUCUCCAGUGUUAGUCACGCCUCUUGAAGUUCUUUGAAGUUCUCCUCAGCUUCAGGGGAACGGAAAGUCGGGGUGCCUUCAAAGUACAGGACCUUGUUUGCUCCUCUCCUCUUCUUAGAAAACCCUGGUGAGACGUCUUCAUCCAAUAGUUCGAGGAUAUCGUCAUCACUUGGAGCUGAUAGAGGAAGCUCUUCGAUCAACAUUGUUUUUCGACCGGAGAAGGAAGAGAUGGAGAAAAAGGUAGCCAAGGGUUUUGAAAAACCCAACCCUUCCUAUUCUUUAUAUACAUGACUUCUUAGGGCGCACGAUUGGGAGAAAAAAUUCUUUUCUUCCAAAAGACAGUUGCCUUUUCCUAGAAUACGAUUGCUCUUCCAAGGAUUAUUUUCCAUAUCUUGUGUUGUCCAAUCAUCAUGAUGGUUAAGUUUUUAAAAUUUUCCCUCCAAAUAUCAAAAGACUCUUUGUCUUCUUUUGAUCAUCAUUAAGUAGAGGAAUGAAUGAUUAAUUCCACCCUAUACUUAUAAGGUUAAAAGAGAUUUUGAAAAAUAAUUAAUUUUUCUUGGUAUGAGACAUCAAUUCUAAUACCAACUUUUAAUUACUUUAAGCUAGUUAUAAAAACUAUAAUAUUUGAUUUAUCAAGAUGCCAACAAAUUUGUCUCAAUCGAUUUAUGAUUAGAGUCUUGAUGUCAUCAGUUACUGGUCUAAGGAUUCAUCCUUCUUAAAGUUUAGACAUCGUUGCGGUUGCGAUGACCUUCAUAACUCCUUGGUGAAUCCUUAUCAAUUUGUCAUUCAUGUCAUCAGAAAACCAUGUUGUUUUGGGUGGUUGAUUUUGUUCGAACCCCAUUAUACCUAUAGUCAACCUCAAUCUGUGACCAGAUAACUGGAUGAGAGAUCUUUUUUUAGUUGUUUUUAUCUUGUUUAAUUUUAUGAAAUAAAAAGAGGAAAAUAAAGAGAGACAGAGAUUUUUAUACUAGUUCACCCAAACAAGGGCUAAUCUAGUUCCGAUGAAACACGAAGAUCACUAGCCUGAAGGUAAUGGCAAAACCUCUGCCAAGCUUUAAGGCUAAACGCUUGUGAACCACCUAAGAGUAUUCAGGAACUCUUAAAAACCUCUGUCAAGCUUUAAGACUAAACGCUUGUGAAUCCUCUAAGAGUAUUCAGGAACUCUUAAGAACCUCUGCCAAGCUUUAAGGCUAAACGCUUGUGAACCACCUAAGAGUAUUCAGGAACUCUUAAAAACCUCUGUCAAGCUUUAAGACUAAACGCUUGUGAAUCCUCUAAGAGUAUUCAGGAAAUCUUAAGAACCUCUGUCAAACUUUAAGGCUAAACGCUUGUGAACCCUCUAAGAGUAUUAAGGAAUUCUUAAAAACUCUUGAACCUUUAAGGCAGAUUCAACCUAAGAGUUUUCCUGGAAACUCUAUAGAACCACACCGAAUUUUAUGGUUGGUAUUGAGACAAACCUCUCACAACACUUGGACCACUUACAAGAUGUAGAGCUUUUUUCCUAACACACUCUUAACACACAAGAGAGGAAGAAGAAAAAGUUGAAAAACUAAACACACAACCUUGAGAGCAACUCCCACACAAAGCUUGAACGAGAGCAAGAUCUUGAGCAAGAGCAAGAGAGAAAGAGUAGAGCUUUGAUCCAAGGAGAGCUUUAGCAAAGAUGGCAAGUGAUGACUUUGACUCUUGGGUGUGCACUUCCUUAUAUAGUAGUCGUUGAUGGCAUGAAGGUAAAUUCUUCAUCUUCAAAAGUCAUAGGAAGAAGAGCUUGAAUAUAGACGUUGGAAAGACAUGGAGCUUCACUUAAAUUUGAAAUUGAUCUUGGGAUAUUGUGUAGCAUUUAAUUCAAGAUCACGAUUGUGUUUUAUUUUGGGAGAUUGAACCUCCACACAUUUUGCCUUGCUCCAAUUUGAAAUCUUCUUCUAGGAUUUUGUGUAGCAUUGAUUCUAAGAUCUUGUAGUUAAUAUGUUGGAUAUGCUUUUAGAAUUUAUCAUGAUUGCACUUCUACACGUUUUCUACACCUUGGGUCCAUUUGAAGCUUGAAUAAAUAGUUGUAUCUUUCAUACCUUGUUGAUUAACCUUUAAGGCAUUAAUCAACUUGAAACAAGAGUUGAUGCAAGUAAAUAAGUGUGCAUAAUUAAAUACAAACUUCAAUAAUUAACUUGAUCAAUAGUAGAGAUUUGUUUGAUGGAAAUAAUUAAUACUAAUCUCACUUUAGUUUAAUCAUAUAUCAAGUCAAUUUUAUUUAUACAAGUUUAAUUGAUUUAUUCGUGUAGCUUUAACUCAUAUAUCUCUAUAUCUUGUUAAUUAGGGUUUAUUAUAUUUCAAAUUAAUUAACAACUAAAUAUGUCAUUGAGAAUCUUAUUUAUACAGAUAUGUAUUCAAGUAUAAUAUUCUUCUUUUCUACGUGAUCCCUUAAAAAGUGAUGUCGGACAUCUAUAUGUUUUGACCUAGUAUGCAACACUGUAUUUUUCGAUAGACAUAUUGCACUUUUGUUAUCACAUUUUAGAGGGAUCGUUCCUAAAGUAAUGUCAUAAUCUUUUAAGGUUUGCUUCAUCCAAAGAAUUUGGGCACAUGCACUUGAGGCAGCCAUAUAUUCUGCUUCUGUAGUGGACAGAGCAAUGUUGUUCUGCUUUUUGCAUGACCAUGAUACUAAUGCAUUUCCUAACAGGAAACAAGUACCACUACUGGUGCUUUUUAUGUCGGUCUGACAACCGCCAAAGUCAGCGUCACAGUAAGUUGUUAAGGAAAAGUCACUUCCUUUUGGGUGGAAUAAUCUUAAAUUAAUUGUCCCUUUAAUAUAUCUGAUUAUUCUUUUUACAGCUUUGAGGUGUGAUUCUUUAGGGUUUGACUGAUAUCUUGCACAUAAGCAGACUGCAAACAUAAUUUCAGACCUACUUGUUGUGAGAUAUAGUAAGGAUCCAAUCAUUCCUCGGUAAUUUUUGUUGUCUACAUCUUUGCCCUCUGGGUCUGUUUCUAGUCUGAGUGUGGAACUCAUAGGAGUGUUAGAUGCUUUAAAGCUAUCUAAAUCGAAUUUUUUGACCAAGUCUUUGGCAUAUUUUGUUUGACUUGCAAAAAUACCUUUUUCUAUUUGUUUGACUUGAAGACUCAGAAAGUAGUUCAAUUCGCCCAUCAUGCGUAUCUCGAAUUUUUUUUCCAUCAAGGUCGAAAAUUCUUUGCACAAAUUUUUAUUGGUAGAUCCAAAUUAAAAUUAUAUCAUCAACAUAGAUUUGGAUUAAUAAAAUAUCAGUGCCAAUACUUUUUAUGAAUAGUGUAUUAUCAAUACUACCCAUUUUGAAGUCUUGAAAGAGUAGAAAGUUCUUUAACCUCUCAUACCAAGCUCUAGGAGCUUGUUUUAGCCCGUAUAACGCUUUCUUUAGUUUGUACACGUAAUCGGGGAAUUCAGAGUCUUCGAAGCCGGGAGGUUGCUUCAUAUAGACUUCUUCCUUGACUUCACCGUUUAGAAAUGCACUUUUGACAUCCAUUUGAAAGAGAGUGAAGUUUCUAUAGCAUGCAUAUGAGAGAAGGAUUCUUAUUGAUUCUAAUCUUGUUACUGGGGCAAAGGUUUCGUCAUAGUCAAUUCUUUCUUGUUGAUUAUAACCUUGAGCUACUAAUUUGGCUUUGUUUCUGGUGAUAAUCCCAUUUUCAUCAACCUUGUUCCUAAAGACCCAUCUUGUCCCUAUAAUUGAGCAGCCUUUGGGUUUUGGGACCAAAUCCCAAACAUCGUUGCGGGUGAACUGAUUUAGUUCGUUUUGCAUGGUGAUGACUCAAUAGUUAUCUGUUAAUGCCUCAUCCACUUUCUUAGGUUCUAUCUGAGAUGCAAAACAUCCAAAAGCCAUAUUGCUUUAGUAGUUGAUCUUGUUCGAACCCCAGCAUUUUUAUCUCCUAUGAUUUGUUCUUCAGAAUGUGGAUUUCUUAAGGUUCUACUUGGGUGACCUGUUUGUGGGUCUUCAGACGAUGGAGUCUGGUCUGUCAAUACAGGUGACUCCUCCUGAUAUUUUUCUAGGUCAGAGGAGGAUAUUAGGUUAUCCUUUAGAUAUUCAUCAAAGUUUACAUGAAGUGAUUCGAUCACAGUUUGAGAUUCUUUGAUGAAAAUCUUGUAUGCUUUGCUUCGUUCUGAGUAUCCCAGAAACAUUCCUUCAUCGGAAUUUGGAGCGAAUUUAUCUUGUGUUCCUCGAGUCCUUAGGACAAAGUAUUUACUGCCGAAUAUUUUGAAGAAAUCAACUUUGGGUUUUCUGUCUUUCCAAAGCUCAUAUGGGGUUUUGUUCAGAAUUCGUCUAAUUAGAACUCUGUUCAAAAUAUAGCAAACAAUAUUUACUGCCUCAGCCCAAAAGAUGUGAGAUGUAUCAUGUUCAUUUAACAUGGUUCUUGCCAUCUCUUGUAGAGUUCGGUUCUUUUUCUCAACCACUUCAUUUUGGGGAGAAGCUUGAGGGAACGAGAACUCAUGUUUGAAACCAUGGGUUUUGCAGAAUUCUUUCUUUGAAUUCAACAUUUUCGAACUCUACACCGUGAUCACUCCGAAUUUUUAUAAUGGAGAGAUCUUUUUCAUUUUGCACUCUUGUACAGAAUGAUGAGAAUUCGCAGAAGGCUUCGUUCUUAUUUCUUAAGAAGAAUACCCAAGUAUAUCUUGUAUAAUCAUCUAUGAUUACAUAUGCAUAUCUCUUACCUCCUACACUUUGAGUUUGGGUUGGUCUGAAGAGGUCCAUGUGUAGGAGUUCAAGAGGUCGAGAUGUAGUUACUUCCAAGAUAGAUUUGAAGGAUGCUUUAUGUUGUUUUCCUUUUUGGCAGGAGUUGCAAAAGCUAUUUUGAUCAUACGCAAUCCUAGGUAGUCCUCUAACUAGAUCUCCUUUUGAUAACUUGCUCGGUUUGGAGUAACUAGUAUGGCCCAAUCUUUUGUGCCAUAGAAUUUUCUCAUUACUGACUGCUAUCAUGCAGUGUUCAUGAGAUGAGGUAGUCUGAUCGAAAGUGAAAGAGUACGCAUUAUGUUCUCUAUUUCCUUCUGCAACAAUUCUAUUUUCGGAAUUUGUAAUAGCACACAAAUGUUUUCGAAUUUGACUACACAGCCUAUGUUACAUAAUUGACUUAUGCUGAUUAGGUUGUGUUUUAGUCAUUCUACUAAAUAUACAUUUCUAAGAAAAGGAUUAUUUACACUACCUAUUAUACCUUUGUCUACUAUGGUACCUGUUUUGUCAUCUGUGAAGAUGACAGUUUUCCCUUUGGGAACUGAAACUACAUCUCUUAAUAGGCUUCUGUUUCCAGUCAUGUGUCGAGUGCAUCCACUGUCGAAUAGCCAAUUGGACUUUUGAUUGACCUGUGGAUGAAAACAUGCUUUUUGGUAUCCAAACAUAUUUGGGUCCUAAAUGAUUAACAGAAAUAGCUUUAAAAUGUUGUAACUUUUCCUUAGACAUCCAUACUUUCUUGACACUCAAUUUAUUAGAGAUGUUUUGAUUGUCUACAUGUGUGGAUUCUCGUACGAAAUAUUUAUUAUAUGUUACAGACGUACUUGGGGAAGGGAAUUCAUGACUGAAUCCUACACCAGGCUUUUCUAGUCCGAUGUUGGAUUUUUUUAUCUUAUUAUCAAGCAUCUUUGAGUUAUAAGUAAAGCUUGAGAUAUCUCGUUUAUAUUCACCUAUUUUCUUUUUUAAGUUUUUUAUAUGAGAUGCUUGUGAUAUAAUGUCCGUUAACAGAUCUUCCCUUUUAAGUAAAAAUUCUUUUUCUUUAUCUUCAUUUUCUAGAAUCCUUUUUUCAUGUAUAGCCAGUUUCUUUAUUAAUAAUUCUAAGUUUGUUUUUAGAUCUAGAUUUGUAUUUGUUAAACUUUUUAUUUGAUCUAGAUGUAUGGAAGCGGGUUCUUCCACUUGUUCUGCUAAAUCUGUGAGAAUAAGGUUUUGUUCCUUAAGGGUUUUAAUUGUGCUUUCAUUUUUAUCUAGUUUAUAUUUUAGUUCUUUGAUUUCUUCUAGAUGCAGAAUGGAAGGUUCUUCCAUAGAUUCAGCAUGAUCUAUGAGAAUCAGGUUUUGCUUCUUAAGUUGCUCUAUGACUUUUUCCCUAGAGUUUAGUUUUUUUAGUUAGGGUAGCAUUUUCAAUCAUAAAUUUUUCUAAUUCAUGAAUAUUGGAGUCCUGAAUGUGAUUUAACUAGUUUUCUUUCUGUUUUAUAUUUAGCUACUAGUUUUAGAUAGGAAGUUUCUAAUUUUUGAUAAUCAUAAAUGCUAACUUGGAUGUUUAAGUCAUUGGCCAUCAAACAUUCAGCAACCUCGGAGUCUUCAUCAAAGUCAGACCAACUUACUUGGUGAGAAGCAUCUCUGGCACUGGGACAGUUUGAUCGUACAUGUCCAGUCUUGUUACACUUGUAGCAGAUGAUCUCUUUAAAUUUGUCUGCUUCCUUUUGUUGGUAUUGAUCUGACUUGUGAUGUGAGUCGUCUGCUCUAGAUUAUUUUCUUAAUCAGUCUGUAGAGCUUGGCUGUGAUGAGUGCAAGUUCAUCCUCAUCAGAUUCACUAUGGUUUUCUGAAGCUGCUUGAAGAGCUAGACUUGGCUUUUCAUCUUUUUGCUUCUCUUUAGAUGUGAACUUCAUUUGCUCGUAUGCCAUUAGAUUUCCGACUAGCUCUACUACGCGAAGUUUGUUUAAAUCGUGAGCUUCUUGGAUAGCAUCUCUUUUCGAAUCAUACUUGUCAGGAAGGCUUCUUAGAAUUUUCCCGACUUGAUUCUUCUCACUAACAGGUUCUCCCAAUCCAGCUAGAUCAUUAAUAAUAUUGAUGAACGUCUUGUUCAUUUCAGCAAUGGUCUCUCCUUCCUUCAUUGUAAAAUUUUCAUAUUCCGUGUGAGCAUGAAGAGCUUGUUUUCUUUUAUAUGAGAUGUACCUUCAUGAAUGGUCUCUAGUUGUCUCCAAAUGUCACGAGUUGUGUCAAAUACCCGGAUGGAACUAUACUCUAAUUCAUCCAAUGCUCCAUACAGUGCAUUCAUUGCCCUUGCAUUGAAUCUCCAUGUUUGUGUUGGAUCGUGAUCCGAGGCUAUAGAGGGGUGAUAGCCUUUUUUCGAUUUAUACAGGUUGAUAGCGGAAUUACCUGUAAAUACUCAAUAAACAAAUGGUUGAACAGUAAUGAUAUAAAGAUAUUAUUAUUAAUAAUAAUGUAAGUAUUACUCUUUGAAGCUUACUACAGUAUAUGAAUACUGAGUCAACUUUCUUGAUAAUGUUUCAAACACAACUAUAGUAUAUGAAUACUAAGUUAUAUUUAAAACACAAAUUGUAUUGUAGAGUAAAUGACCAGAUAACUGGAUAAAUUGAUGCGUAAAUAAAUGACCAGAUAACUGGAUAUAUUGACAAGUAAGUAAGUGACCAGAUAACUGGAUAAUUUGAUAAACAAGUAAGUGACCAGAUAACUGGAUAAAUAUGAUAAGUAAAAUAUAAGGAUUUAAAACAAUGAAUGUAACCUCAGAUAGUUGACCAGAUAACUGGAUGAGGGAUCUGCGUAAAGUAGUCAACCUCUGUUCUUGACCAGAUAACUGGAAGAGGGAUCUUUUUAAUUAGGUGUUGUUUUUAAGCAAAAGAUAGAACUAAAAUUAACAGAGAACAAUACAAGAGAUUUAUACUGGUUCACCCAAACACGGGCUAGUCCAGUCCCGACCCACUGCCGGAUUUCACUCGCCUAAAUGUAAUGGCAAAACCUUUUCUAAGCUUUAAGGCUACUACGCUUAGGAACCAGUCUUUUACGGGUAGACUCACACCUUAGAGUAUUACAGGGCACUCUUAAAAACCUCUAACUUUUACGGGUAAGUUAGUACCUUAGAGUAUUCAAGGAACUCUUAAAAACCUUUCUAAGCUUUAAGGCUACUACGCUUAGGAACCAGUCUUUUACGGGUAGACUCACACCUUAGAGUAUUAAAGGGCACUCUUAAGAACCUCUCUAAGCUUUAAGGCUACUUCGCUUAGGAACCAGUCUUUUACAGGUAGACUCACACCUAAGAGUUUUCCUGGAAACUCUAUAAAACCAAACAGAGCUUUAUGGUUGAGCUCACAAACCUUUCCUCACACUUUGGUACUAUUGAGACAACCCUCUCAACCAAAGUGGACACACACAAGAGGUGAUUAGAGGAGUGGAAUAUCAAAGCAAACAACACUUCUUACUUGUACAAAUGAACAAGAAGAUUAGAAGAAGAAGUUGGAGAGCUUUUGAAGCUUUGGAAAGCUAGGACACUUGAGCACUUGAAAGCUUGGAAGCUUGAUGGCAAAAACGUGUGGACAAGUGUGGAGUGGAAGCUCUUGAGUU
rnacentral:lncRNA from 1 species